rnacentral:lncRNA from 1 species
AAGAUAUAUGGGCAGGUAACAAUCCCGUUUUCAGUUUGAAAUUAGCCACUCAAAGAUACAAAUAACAGCUGGUAUCCUAAAAGUUGAGGACAGUGCCUCUACCAUUUUGGUGUUAAGAUACAAACGACAACAACCGUCGUCGUAAAGAAAAUUCAGGACAGUGCAUCAUAUUUAGUUCCCGAAUGGAUUGCUGAGCUACGUUGCCUGCGGAUCCUCAAUCAGCGCGUGUUGCACCUGUCGCAUGAUGUGUUUUGUGUUCUCUCCAUCGCUGCUGAUGCCGGGGUCCAGGUGGUGGAUGUCUCCCAAGACAAGGAUGUCACGGUCGGCACAAGGUUGUUCCCAGUUCUGAGUGUGAUGAAGGUGUCAGUUGUGUAUCUAAGCUUCGAGUCAGGAGCUAUGCCCAAGCUACAAACACUCACCCUGGUUUCAGCUGGAAAGAUUGAAGAGGCGCUACAUCAAUCUGGCUCACGAUGAAUUCUGUCGCCACUCUGCUGUCAUAAUCAACAUUUGCACUGUUUAUUUGAUUUCUUUUCUUGAGCUGUAAAACUGAUGCAACUAAAGCAGACAGAGUUUGGAAAUGUUUGGGCCUAGUAGUAGCAACAAUCUAUCGGAAAACAGCGCAUCCAGCCAAUGAGUAGAACUACAAUGCUACCAGGCUGUAAUCAGAAAUGCUGCUGUUUUUCUUUUUCCUUUUACCUGAAGCCAGCCUGCUUCGAUGCUGGUAACAUAACCUUGUCAAUGGAUGUGGGUGCUAACUGAACACCAGCUUCACCAACACACCAGCCUAGCUAUAUGAUGCCGAGGUUCUAUUUCUUUGAUUUUUGGGUCUUUAACAUUCUGGUUUGAAAUAAGCUUGUACAAACUGGAAAUCAUACAGAUCAGAACAUGGCUUGGUAAGAAAUAAGCUUUGGACCGGAGAUGACUAGGAAAGUGAAACGCCUAGUUAAAUCACACAUAACUGGUAGUACAUGGCUGGCUCCCACCUCAACUAAUCCUAAGUUGAAAGGAGUACCUGCAGCAGCUUAUCAGCAGGUAACAUUCUCGAUUUCAAUUUCGAAUUACCCACUUAAAAGAUAAAAACAACAGCUGGUAUCCUAAAAGUUCAGAGCAGUUCAUCUAUAUAUCCUUUUGGGGUUAGGCAACGACAGCAGCCGUCUCUCCUUCUACUUGGCUCGACUGCUUCUGGCAAGGAAAACACCAGUGCCAGUGUGCCAGAUGAUGAUGCCUAGAAUGCCACGAGCUGCGCUGCUCCUUUUGAGGGAGCACAUCAAGCCCAAAAAAAAAAAGAAAGAAGAGAUAAAUGCCAACAAUGGCAGCUCGACAAAGCACAAAUGACUCGCCACUGCUGCGCCCUCCGGAUUCUUCCCACCACGCACCGAGGCUCCGAACCUCCACGUACCAAGCAGCACCUCCAAGAAGGGAUGCAACGUUGACGACGCUGCUACCCGAACAUAUCCUAGGGUUUCCCCCGGCACGCGAAAGGGAGUGGGGAUGGGCAACACCGACGCCCUUCAGGAAGGAAAGGCGUCACCCGCGAGCGAUACCGCGUCGGAGCCGGAUCAACCGGUAGGGAUUUCUCCCGCAUCCCAAACACUACUACCUGCCUAUCCGGAGCCAACCAUCCAACUUGCCACCCGCUAGCAUACGCCACCAUGGUCUUGAAGUCAUCCAUGCCGCCUCACUGAGAUCGCAUCACGAGGCCUAAAGGAUAGAGAGAGGGACGCCAGGAAACGGGAGGGGCAGCAUCGGAGCUGAGCCGGAGAGAAGCAC